rnacentral:rRNA from 1 species
UACGUAGGUGGCAAGCGUUGUCCGGAAUUACUGGGCGUAAAGGGCGCGUAGGCGGCCUGUUAAGUCGAAUGUGAAAUCCCUGGGCUCAACCCAGGAACUGCGUCCGAUACUGGGAGGCUUGAAUCCGGGAGAGGGAUGUGGAAUUCCAGGUGUAGCGGUGAAAUGCGUAGAUAUCUGGAGGAACACCGGUGGCGAAGGCGGCAUCCUGGACCGGUAUUGACGCUGAGGCGCGAAAGCCAGGGGAGCAAACGGG